rnacentral:snRNA from 1 species
GUGCUCACUUUGGCAGCACAUAUACUAAAAUUGUAGUGAUACAGAGAAGAUUAGCAUGACCCCUGCACAAGGAUGACAUGCAAAUUCAUGAAGCGUUCCAUAUAAAA